UGGUGCCUACGGGGCGCAGCAGUGAGGAAUAUUGGUCAAUGGCCGGGAGGCUGAACCAGCCAAGUCGCGUGAGGGAAGACGGCCCUACGGGUUGUAAACCUCUUUUGUCAGGGAGCAAGGUGCAGGUCGGGACCUGCUGUGAGAGUACCUGAAGAAAAAGCAUCGGCUAACUCCGUGCCAGCAGCCGCGGUAAUACGGAGGAUGCGAGCGUUAUCCGGAUUCAUUGGGUUUAAAGGGUGCGCAGGCGGGCCUUUAAGC
rnacentral:rRNA from 1 species